UACGUAGGGGCCAAGCGUUGUCCGGAUUUAUUGGGCGUAAAGAGCUCGUAGGCGGUUCGGCAAGUCGAAUGUGAAAUCUCCACGCUCAACGUGGAGGGGUCAUUCGAUACUGCCGUGACUCGAGUCCGGUAGGGGAGUGUGGAAUUCCCGGUGUAGCGGUGAAAUGCGCAGAUAUCAGGAGGAACACCGGUGGCGAAGGCGGAUCUCUGGGCCUUGCCUGACGCUGAGGCGCGAAAGCUAGGGGAGCGAACAGG
rnacentral:rRNA from 1 species